rnacentral:rRNA from 1 species
AAUCAACGCUGGCGGCGUGCCUCAGACAUGCAAGUCGAACGCGAAAGUCCCCUUCGGGGGACAAGUAGAGUGGCGCACGGGUGAGUAACACGUAGGUAAUCUACCUUCGGAUGGGGAAUAACAACCGGAAACGGUUGCUAAUACCGCAUAAUGCAGCGGCACCUAAUGGUGACAGUUGUUAAAGCGGGGGAUCGAAAGACCUCGCGUCUGAAGAGGAGCCUGCGGCGGAUUAGCUAGNGGUAAGGUAAUGGCUUACCAAGGCGACGAUCCGUAGCCGGCCUGAGAGGGCGGUCGGCCACACUGACACUGACAUACGGGUCAGACUCCUACGGGAGGCAGCAGUCGGGAAUUUUGGGCAAUGGGCGAAAGCCUGACCCAGCAACGCCGCGUGAAGGAUGAAAUCCCUCGGGAUGUAAACUUCGCAAGAACGGGAAGAAUAAGUAGGGGACAAUACCCCCUAUGAUGACGGUACCGUUUGUAAGCUCCGGCU